rnacentral:rRNA from 1 species
UUCCAGACUCCUACGGGAGGCAGCAGUGGGGAAUAUUGCACAAUGGGGGAAACCCUGAUGCAGCGACGCCGCGUGAGCGAUGAAGUAUUUCGGUAUGUAAAGCUCUAUCAGCAGGGAAGAAGAUGACGGUACCUGACUAAGAAGCCCUGGCUAACUACGUGCCAGCAGCCGCGGUAAUACGUAGGGGGCAAGCGUUAUCCGGAUUUACUGGGUGUAAAGGGAGCGUAGACGGCGAUGCAAGCCAGAUGUGAAAGCCCGGGGCUCAACCCCGGGACUGCAUUUGGAACUGUGUGGCUGGAGUGUCGGAGAGGCAGGCGGAAUUCCUAGUGUAGCGGUGAAAUGCGUAGAUAUUAGGAGGAACACCAGUGGCGAAGGCGGCCUGCUGGACGAUGACUGACGUUGAGGCUCGAAAGCGUGGGGAGCAAACAGGAUUAGAUACCCGGGUAG